CUGCUUUGCAAGCUUAAAUGGUUUAUCAGAAGCUGACGGUGUUCAUAUUCAGAAGCAAUCAAGUCUUAGAAAAUGACUUUAAAUGCCCAAAUUGUGGGCUUUUAAAGUAUUUAAAUUUGAGAUUUUGGUGCACAGUUAACUAUGAGAUUAGAUGUACUCUUCUGGAUUAGUAACUCGUAUUUGUUGACUAAGAUAUUUUGUGAUUGAAAACUCAGAGCAAAGUGAAAGUGAUUUCUAAAGGAAUUUUAUGUUACGUCGUGCCUUAUAAACACAUCUCUUCUUCGUGGUCACUGUAAACUUACUGUAAUAUCUGGUAGCAAACAAUCCAUGUACCUUUGCUAAGGUUAGAGUUAAUAACCAUUGUAUCAUUAGUUUGAAUGUUUUAAAUGACCCAGUACUAGAGAGGAAACUAUCUGCCAAAAUUAGUUUGGGGAAUAAGAGCAAAACUGGAGUGGGGGUGGGGCCUUUACUAAAUGUGGUCUAUGUGUGAAAAUUCAGGGAAAGAUCUGAAAACCCUUUAUGUUAUUACUUGUUUCUGA